rnacentral:rRNA from 1 species
CCUACGUGAGGCAGCAGUGAGGAAUAUUGGUCAAUGGGCGAGAGUCUGAACCAGCCAAGUAGCGUGAAGGAUGACUGCCCUAUGUAUUGUAAACUUCUUUUAUCUGGGAAUAAAAUGUUCCACGUGUGGGAUUUUGUGUGUACCAUAUGAAUAAGGAUCGGCUAACUCCGUGCCAGCAGCCGCGGUAAUACGGAGGAUCCGAGCGUUAUCCGGAUUUAUUGGGUUUAAAGGGAGCGUAGGUGGAUUGUUAAGUCAGUUGUGAAAGUUUGCGGCUCAACCGUAAAAGUGCAGUUGAAACUGGCAGUCUUGAGUACAGUAGAGGUGGGCGGAAUGCGUGGUGUAGCGGUGAAAUGCUUAGAUAUCACGAAGAACCCCGAUUGCGAAGGCAGUUCACUGGACUGCAACUGACACUGAGGCUCGAAAGUGUGGGUAUCAAACAGGAUUAGAUACCCUUGUAGUC